rnacentral:ncRNA from 1 species
AUUGAUAGAGGUUGCGUUUUCCAUCAGUAACCGGACGGAUGCCGCAGGAGGCAGUUGAGAUCCGGAGAAAGGGGACGACGCCGAAGAGAUACAGAUUUCCUGUACUGUAUUUUCUGGGCGCAGUUUGAAUAAGGCUGUGACUGUCAUCGUAGUCGAUGGGGCGCUAUCAU